AUUGAACGCUGGCGGCAGGCCUAACACAUGCAAGUCGUGCGGCAGCGGGAAAGUAGCUUGCUACUUUUGCCGGCGAGCGGCGGACGGGUGAGUAAUGCUUGGGAAAUUGCUCAGUCGAGGGGGAUAACAGUUGGAAACGACUGCUACUAACGCAUACGCCCUACGGGGUCAAGCAGGGGACCUUCGGGCUUCGCGCGAUUGGAGAUGCUCAGGUGGGAUUAGCUAGUUGGUUAGGUAAUGGCUCACCAAGGCGACGAUCCCUAGCUGGUCUGAGAGGAUGGUCAGCCACACUGGAAGUGAGACACGGUCCAGACUCCUACGGGAGGCAGCAGUGGGGAAUAUUGCACAAUGGGGGAAACCCUGAUGCAGCCAUGCCGCGUGUGUGAAGAAGGCCUUCGGGUUGUAAAGCACUUUCAGCGAGGAGGAAAGGUUGAUGCCUAAUACGUAUCAACUGUGACGUUACUCGCAGAAGAAGCACCGGCUAACUCCGUGCCAGCCGCCGCUGUAA
rnacentral:rRNA from 1 species